GAAGAAGUAGCAUCUCACUCACUGUUCCUGGGAAGAUGGAAAAGUGAUGAUCCCUUAAAUCCUGCAAUUGAAAACAUUUGUGACCCUGAGGGCAGGUAUGAGAGGCACUAAGAAAAUCCUUUGUUGGUGAGACAGAGAACAUUUUCACCCCAGGAAAAAGAGAUCAUAGAGAAGUCAUGAAAACUGUACUGAACAAAAUACUUAUGGGAAAGAGGGGUUGUAAAAGUGAUGAAUGUAGACAGUUCUUCACUAAGAAAUCAAAUCUUAUUCAACAGCAAAGGAUCCACACUGAAGAGAGACCCUGUAAAUACAAAGUUUGUGGCAAGCCUUCAGUGGGAACACUAGCCUCUAUCUCCAGAAGAUCCACACUGGGGAGAACCCUUAUAAGUGUGAUGAGCAUAGAAGGGCCUUCACCGUGAAAGCCUGCAUUAUAGAAGCUGUAUUUUCACAGACACUAUGAAUGUGAUCAGUGUGGCAAGACUUUCAUUUGGAGCUCAGAUCUUAGUAAACAUCAGAGGCUUCAUACUGGAGGGAAAUCCACAAGCGUAAUGUAUGCAAUAAGACCUUCAGAAUUCUGACCAUCUCAAACAUCAGAGAAUACAUACUGGAGAGAAACCCUACAAAUAUCUUAUGCAUGGGAAAGCUUUUAAUCAGAGCCCACUCUUUCUUAAGCAUCAUAGAGUACACACUGAGAGAAACCUUAUCACUUUAAGGAAUGUGGAGAAAGCUUUAGUCACAAUGGAGGCCUGACAUCGUAUGAGAGACUGCACACAAGAGAGAAGUCUUAUAAAAGUAAAGUAUUUGGGGAAGUCUGCAUUGAGAGCUCACACUUCAUUAACUAUCCCAACAUUCAUACAGGGGAAAGACUUCCUCAUUGCCCUGAAUAUGGAAAAUGCUUUACUCAAAAUGAAGGUCUUAUUUCCCAUCAGAACCUUUUUAGACAUUAAAAAGAAAACCCAUAUCAGAGAAAAAAGAUAUAUACCUCUGAUGAAUGUGUGUAAAACUUUGUGUUUCUCUAGUAAUUGACCUUUAGAGAGUAGAUAUAGAAGGGAAAUAUUUUGAAUAUAACAAUUUU
rnacentral:lncRNA from 1 species